CAGGCCUAACACAUGCAAGUCGAGCGGUAUUUCUUCUUCGGAAGAGAGAGAGCGGCAUACGGGUGCGUAACACGUGUGCAACCUACCUUUAUCUGGGGAAUAGCCUUUCGAAAGGAAGAUUAAUACCCUAUAAUAUAUUGAAUGGCAUCAUUUAAUAUUGAAAACUCCGGUGGAUAGAGAUGGGCACGCGCAAGAUUAGAUAGUUGGUGAGGUAACGGCUCACCAAGUCAAUGAUCUUUAGGGGUCCUGAGAGGGAGAUCCCCCACACUGGUACUGAGACACGGACCAGACUCCUACGGGAGGCAGCAGUGAGGAAUAUUGGACAAUGGGUGAAAGCCUGAUCCAGCCAUCCCGCGUGAAGGAUGACGGUCCUAUGGAUUGUAAACUUCUUUUGUACAGGAAUAACCUACUCUCGUGAGAGUAGCUGAAGGUACUGUACGAAUAAGCACCGGCUAACUCCGUGCCAGCAGCCGCGGUAAUACGGAGGGUGCAAGCGUUAUCCGGAUUUAUUGGGUUUAAAGGGUCCGUAGGCGGACCCGUAAGUCAGUGGUGAAAUCUCAUAGCUCAACUAUGAAACUGCCAUUGAUACUGCGGGUCUUGAGUAAAUUUGAAGUGGCUGGAAUAAGUAGUGUAGCGGUGAAAUGCAUAGAUAUUACUUAGAACACCAAUUGCGAAGGCAGGUCACUAAGAUCUAACUGACGCUGAGGGACGAAAGCGUGGGUAGCGAACAGGAUUAGAUACCCUGGUAGUCCACGCCGUAAACGAUGCUAACUCGUUUUUGGAUCUUCGGAUUCAGAGACCAAGCGAAAGUGAUAAGUUUAGCCACCUGGGGAGUACGAUCGCAAGAUUGAAACUCAAAGGAAUU
rnacentral:rRNA from 1 species